rnacentral:tRNA from 1 species
GACCCCAUGGAGUAGUGGUUAGCUCUCCUCCCUUUCACGGAGGCUGCACGGGUUCGAAUCCCGUUGGGGUCG